rnacentral:rRNA from 1 species
UACGUAGGGUCCGAGCGUUGUCCGGAUUUAUUGGGCGUAAAGAGCUCGUAGGCGGUUCCGUAAGUCAGAUGUGAAAACUCAGGGCUCAACCCGGAGACGCCAUCUGAUACUGCUGUGACUUGAGUCCGGUAGGGGAGCGUGGAAUUCCUGGUGUAGCGGUGAAAUGCGCAGAUAUCAGGAGGAACACCAGCGGCGAAGGCGGCGCUCUGGGCCGGUACUGACACUGAGGAGCGAAAGCGUGGGUAGCAAACAGG